rnacentral:lncRNA from 1 species
AUGAGGCUGGGAGCACUGUUGGCGGCGAUGACCGUGAUCGGUACGUUUGGAGGGGGACUGGCAGGAAAUGUCGUGAUUACGCCGUUGCCAAAUGGGGUCCUUUUCAGGGAACUGGGCCCGGUAGUGUAUUCGUCGGAUGUUUUUGAAGUGGAAGUAAAUUUUAAUAUUUCAAUAUUGCAUGAACAAGAUGAGUGUUUGGAGGUAGAUUUUGCAAAUGUGGAAAAAGUGCUGAGUAGAAUUUAUAACAGUACCAAGGGAGCGUCGGACACGUUAAAUGCGACGUUGUCAAUGUUAAAAUCCGAAUUAGAGAGUUAUGAGUGGGAAAUGGAUGCAUUGUUGGGCCUAGUUUCGAAGAAAAGAGUUACGCGUGCCUGGUUCAAUGGCCUUGGAGCUGCAAUUUCUAAGGUGACGGGCCUGUUGGAUGAUUCCAGAGGUAAGGCGCUUGAUAAUGAGGUAAGUAUUCUCCAGGAGAACGGAGUGCAUAUGGAAGCAGAUGUGGAGAACAACAGAGUGGUGGUAAGGAAUAUUUUGGCAACACUGGAAAACGGGACGAGAUCGAUUGAAGUUUUGGCAAAGACUGUGGCCAAUCAUGAUGAUUGGUUUUUGGAGUAUUCAGAGGUUCAAAAAGUAGAGGAGGAACUUCAAUUGCUCUCGGCCUGGGUUACCAGGGUAAUCAUGGAAAGAAGAAAGCUGAGAGUUGGUCUAACGUGUGCCUUGAGAGGAGAGUUUUCGCCCGAGUUGAUCAGCCCAGGACAAUUUUUGGAGGUUUUGUCCACGAUUAAGGAUGGGGUGGGGGGAACACUGGCUUUAGUAGCUCCGGUAAAUGAAGAAUUUUUAAGAUCGUACUAUGAGAUGUGUGAUAUAUCGGUUAUGAGAGAGGGGGGAGGGUUGAAAGUGAUCAUUAAUGUGCCCCUGAAAGGGAACGAGGGGGACUUUUUGGUAGUAAAAAUUGAGUCGAUCCCAGUUUUUUCAGCAGAUUUGGAUGAAUUUGUUAAGUUAAGGCUGGGGGAAAUGAUGUUAGUUUCACGGGAUUUCAAGUUUUUCGCCGUAACAUCAGUUGAGUGGUUGAAAUCUUGCCGGAAGGGGGAGAGAGUCACGGUUUGUCCGGCGGAUUUGCCAUUGAUUUCGGCGGUAACCGGGGCUUGUGAAUAUUUUCUUUACGCGUCUUUACCAGCGAAAGAUUGCGGAAAGGAGGUUGUCCUAAAUUUUAAGGGUUUGUUUUUGAAAAUAAAUGGGGAUUGGCUAUUUUCGGUACAAAAUUUGACCAAGGUAAAUAUAAAUUGUAAAACAGAAAGGGGUUUUAAGUUCAUUUCAGGGGCGGGUCUCAUGUCAGGAGUGAAGGAGUGUGAGUUGACGUCGGAAAAUUUAAGACUUUUGGGGGAAGGCGAAUUAAGUCGGAACUACUUUUCCAGUGGUCGAACUCAUCGGUCCCCAUCGUGGGCAAUCAAUCGUUGUUAA